GGAGACAGUACGAAUAAUUUUUUCUGAUUCAUUUUUUUAAGGUAUUAGCACUCUAAUGAACUUCGUGCAAUAUCUCCUUCUUUCGUACAUAUCCGUCAAUCCGAACGUUAUCCGGGAAUGUGCUGAAAACUACGAAUACUCUAUAAAUACGCUAUGAAAUACUAAAUGUAGGAUCCGCUAAAUACAAAGACAACAAAUAUGGCCGACAUUGUACCUGACAGAUUGGUCGUUUAAAGAAAAAGCAAUUUGCUAUAUUGAAAGAGAAAGAUUAAUAAAAGUGUUAUGAUUGUUCAUAUUAAUGUGACUGUAGUUAAUGAUAAACGUCAACUAAUGCAUGGCAGUGUUGAUAUUUAUGAAAAAAAACGAUUCCUGGAAACGCUUGAAAAUUUUGACCACUGUUAAGAAUAACGUUUAGAACCCGUGUCACUUACAACAUUUUAUAUUGUUGGUGAGAAGUAAAAGGGGAUAAAGUGGAUUUAUGCUUGUGUGAUGAUAGCCAUGUAAACGGGUCAUCGUACGGCAAAACCCAUCACGUAAAGAAGAGUCUUCAACUUUUCAAGAAAGGAAUGCCUUGUUUUGCUAUCAACACAAAGCUCGGAACAUGAAGCAAUGAUCAACAACAUUGGUGGUCCAGGAACGGUUAGUUACUUUUUUUCAACACUGUAUGUUCCAAUGAUCAAUUAAACUUAAAGAAAAUGGAAAUACAUGCGGGAAGGACGUUCAUUCAUCAAGUUUCAACUAUCUCCUUUAUAGCAGACAGGCUUAUAAGAUGGAAACGAAUGAUACAUUGUAUGCUGAUUACCUGUGCAGGAGGAAAAUGAAACCAGACAGAUUAUGGACUCAAAUUCAACCCGUAAAAAAGCUAGGAACUGAGUGUUCUUGUUUACAGUCAUGUGCUCAAUGCUGCAACUACAUAAAUAUUAUAGCUGGCUCUGGACUCAACCUUAUGCAUCUUAAAAUGAUCUUUGAACGGGAUGGUCUCAAGAACAUUUUUGUAAUGAAUAACUUUGACGGUCAGCCCAUGGUCACCAAUGCCAAGCGUCUUUUGGAGACACUUAUUCCAACCUGUCGAAGUUCUUCAAAGAACUACCAUGACAAUCGUGUAUUUGUUUUGUUUGUCAUAAUAAGUUUAAUGUUUAAUAUCACUAGUAUCACUAGUCAUUGAUACAUUGAUAAAUCUAUUUUCCUUUAAA